CGACCUUUUAUAAAAUAUCCGGUUUUGUUGUUGGAAUAUUGAUGGCUAGCUAUUCUGGAUAUCUAUGGGUUAAUUUCGAUGGUAGUGUAUUUGUGUUUGUAGUGGCUUUGAUUGACACUAUUUUGGAUCUGAUUGAGAUUACGAUCAUCGUUAUCUAUUUGUUAUUGAAACAUGACAACCACCACGAUACAAGAGGAAAUGUUCGUAACAUACAGGUCAGGCCAGCAAACAGAAUUUGAACGAGAGGUCGGACGAUUUGAAUUGCCUAUACUAUCACUUGACUUGUUAAACACACCAAGCACCUAAUAUUUCGUCAGGAC
rnacentral:lncRNA from 1 species